rnacentral:lncRNA from 1 species
GGGGACAGGACAGAUGAGGCAGAAGGGGAGGUUAGGGAGGUUUGAAGAGUGAGAAGAACUUCUGCAGUGGCUGACUUGGAAGAUGAAGGAGGUUAUGAACCAGGGAAUGGGGGCAGCCUCUAGAGGCUGAGAACCUGCUGACACCUACCCACAACCGCUAAGGAAAUGAAGACUUUAAUUCCACAACUGCAUGCAACUAAACUCAGCCAACAACCUGAAUAAGUCGGAAAAAGGCUUCUCCAGAGCCUCCAGAUAAGAGGCCAGGCUGGCGACACCUUGAUUUUGACCUUGUGAGACCUAGAGCAGAGAAACUAGCCAAGAUCACUCAGACUUCUGAUCUACAGAACUGUGAGACCGUAAAUUUAUGUUGUAUUAAGCCACUAAUUGCGUGGGAAUUUGUUACAGGAGCAAUAGAAAAUGAAUACACCUUCUGAUGUAGUUUAAUCAGUUGACAUUAGGGGUGACACCAAGAUGUGCUACACUGAACCCAACUUCUGCAUGUUUAAGACAAGAAUGUGCAUCUUUAUUUUUCCUGAAUAUUUCUAUUGUCUAAAUACCUUAGUAAAGUUUACUGCUUCUACGGAUGGCCUAAAAGUUCUGGCAAUGAAAGAAGUAAAGUGUGAAUACGCAAGGUCAAAAAUUUACAUCAGGUAUCUGAAUGUGUAGCAUAUACAACUGAGUGUUGAAAGAAGACAAAAUCGUUUUCAUCACGAAGAAUAUGUGCUCAGUAAGAAUCAGAAUGUUCAAUUGUGUGAAGGUGGGAGAUGGGAAGAUUGGUAUUAUGGCCUGGAUCCAGAAAUCAGUCUUCCACUAUAGGAAAUGGGAAUUUAAAGAUGAUCAGAAGACAGUUGGGAGCAGAGUGAGAAUAAGAACCCUCAACUGCUGUCUCACCUUUCAGAUCACGAAGAAGUUUUUUACAAUGAGCAGAACACUCAACCUGAAAGCAGAAUGGAUUGAGUCACUGCAGCGUGGCAGUGGAAUGGUGUUUGAUGUUGGCAAAGGAAACAUGUACUUCUAGACUGGACAGUUUUCCCUUAGUUUACAGUUUCCAAAUAGAGACAUCACUUUGAAAUAACAUGGAGAACAUACAUGGAUGUACUGAACGAAGAAUAAAGUCUGUGUUGCA